rnacentral:rRNA from 1 species
GAUGAACGCUGGCGGCGUGCUUAACACACGCAAGUCGAACGGAAAGGCCCAAGCUUGCUUGGGUACUCGAGUGGCGAACGGGUGAGUAACACGUGGGUGAUCUGCCCUGCACUUCGGGAUAAGCCUGGGAAACUGGGGCUAAUACCGGAUAGGACGAUGGUUUGGAUGCCAUUGUGGAAAGUUUUUUCGGUGUGGGAUGAGCUCGCGGCCUAUCAGCUUGUUGGUGGGGUAAUGGCCUACCAAGGCGUCGACGGGUAGCCGGCCUGAGAGGGUGUACGGCCACAUUGGGACUGAGAUACGGGCCAGACUCCUACGGGAGGCAGCAGUGGGGAAUAUUGAACAAUGGGCGAAAGCCUGAUGCAGCGACGCCGCGUGGGGGAUGACGGCCUUCGGGUUGUAAACUCCUUUCGCUAGGGACGAAGCGUUUUUGUGACGGUACCUGGAGAAGAAGCACCGGCUAACUACGUG